UCAGGCAAUGAAUGUUUGAAAUCACUGAAAAAAGAACAUAUUUUGAACUGGAUUAAAAUAGAAUAUAUUGCAGAAAAUCUUUCUGCGUGGUUCUUUAUUACAUUGUAUAAUUUCAUUAUUGUUCAACAUUGACAUGAAUCUUUAUCUAAAAAAGUUGAAUAAAGAAAGUGGCAGCAGAUUAAAGGACAAGGCACAGAAUGCUGAAAGCUAAAGAAAGAAUUAGCAUUAUAUAUAUAUAUAUAUAUUAU
rnacentral:misc_RNA from 1 species